rnacentral:rRNA from 1 species
GAUGAACGCUAGCGGCAGGCUUAAUACAUGCAAGUCGAGGUGCAGCAGGACUGUAGCAAUACAGUUGCUGGCGACCGGCAAACGGGUGCGGAACACGUACGCAACCUUCCUUUAAGUGAGGGAUAGCCCAGGGAAACUGGGAUUAAUACCUCGUAAUAUUCGAGCGUGGCAUCACUCUUUAAUUAUAGCUCCGGCGCUUAAAGAUGGGCGUGCGUCUGAUUAGGUAGCUGGCGGGGUAACGGCCCACCAAGCCUGCGAUCAGUAACUGGUGUGAGAGCACGACCAGUAACACGGGUAUCGCGACACGGGCCCGACUCCUACGGGAGGCAAAAGUAAGUCAUAUUAGUCAAGGGACGCAAGUCGGAACCAGCCAUGGCGUGUGGAGGAUGUUGGUGCUCUGGAUUGUAAACUUUUUUUAUCGGGGCAGAAACCAAUAUUUUCUCGGGUUGUUGACGGUACCAGAUGAAUAAGCACCGGCUAACUCCGUGCCAGCCGCCGCCGUAACAC